rnacentral:rRNA from 1 species
GAUGAACGCUAGCUACAGGCUUAACACAUGCAAGUCGAGGGGUAGCAGGGUAGCAAUACCGCUGACGACCGGCGCACGGGUGAGUAACACGUAUCCAACCUUCCCAUAACUCUGGGAUAGCCUUUCGAAAGAAAGAUUAAUACCGGAUGGUACUUUUUCAAGGCAUCUUGAGAAAGUUAAAGAUUUAUUGGUUAUGGAUGGGGAUGCGUUCCAUUAGAUAGUUGGUGAGGUAACGGCUCACCAAGUCUUCGAUGGAUAGGGGUUCUGAGAGGAAGGUCCCCCACAUUGGUACUGAGACACGGACCAAACUCCUACGGGAGGCAGCAGUGAGGAAUAUUGGUCAAUGGGCGAGAGCCUGAACCAGCCAAGUAGCGUGAAGGAUGAAGGUCCUAUGGAUUGUAAACUUCUUUUAUAGUAGAAUAAAGUGACCCACGUGUGGGUUUUUGUAUGUAUACUAUGAAUAAGGAUCGGCUAACUCCGUGCCAGCCGCCGCAGUAAAAC